GAGUAUAUAUAUUGGAGUUGCAAGUGAGUAAAACUUAAAAAAGCGAAGGGAAUAAAAUUUAGAAAAUGCAAGUGCAACAAUGUGUGACGGGAAAAUACACAUUUAAAUGAAGAAAAUAAAAUGUAUAAUGAUACUUCUUAGAUAAAUUAACAAUAUUUUAUUAAAUGUGGGUUAGUAAAUGUUGAUUAAAAUAACUAGAUUUUUUGUUUAUCAUGACCGGGACUUCCUUGAGAGUGAGGAAUGCCCUUGUGCUUCUUGGCUCUCCCUCCAAAAAAAAAAAAGACCGGCAUGUCCUUGUGAGUUGUGAGUUGUGAGUUGUGAGUCUGUGACAUGGUAAUGGACUAGUAAUACAUUACAGUGGACUAGUGGUACAUUAUUUCAUUAAUCAUUUACUCUAUUGGAAAGAGGAAGAUCAGCGCUUCCAAAAUCACAAUUAUAAGUGCGAUUGAUCACCAAAACCCUACUCUGUAAUCUGUACGCCUGAAACUUUCCAGUAAUUCAGAGUAAUCUGCUAGAAUUGAGAACUCAAACAAGGAGAAAAUCGCUGCCAAAUUGCCGGAAAACAACUAUUUACCGCCGGAAUUAUGGCCGGAGAUCUUCGCAAUGUCGCCGGUGAAAACCUUGCUCCGAUUCAGACUGGCAGUAAUGCAUAUUAAUGGAAGGCGAAGUUAGUUGCUGACGGAGUAGCAUUUCCUCUUAGUGUUAUUUGUCCAGAGACAACAAGGUUUUUGUUCUUCAGUGAUGCUUUUGAGCUGAAGUAAGGUUGGUGGCGAGUGGAAGAACAUCUUCUUCUGGUUAUCUUUGCCAAAGUAACAGGGCUAUUUCCUGAGGCAUUGCUGUGAAAGUUAUUAGUAAAAAUCAAGGAUGGUGGCUGGUGUUGGAUCAUCUUCUUUUGGCUAUGUCUUUGCCAAAGCAACAAAGGGCAUUACUUUACUUGAGCAUUAUUUAUACGUCACCGGUCGUCCGGAUCCUCAGACAACUAUAUCAGUAGCAGGUUCAAACUUUGCUGUCACCAACCUACCCAUGGGCCUUGAAAAUUCUGUAUUACUAUUUGCAUAUCUUCUUGAUUUUGAUCAAGAUAUUAUUAUAAUCAUUGUGAUUAUGUGGCCUAGAGCUAAUAAUUGUCUUUUUUUUUUUUUUUUGGUUAUCCUUGGAGUAAAUCUAAAUUUUUUUUUUCCACCUUUGUUUGUUCUAAAAAGCUAUUUGUUAUUUUCUAUCCUUCACAAAUCAUAAUAAAAAAAUGAAAAACAACAUAAUCAAAUUUUCAUACCAUGUGAAUUUUGAGUAAAGGGUUUAAAGGUUGCACACCCUCAAUUUCAUUAAUCCAUAUAGUAUAAUAUAAAAUCUCAAGCUAUGGUAGAAUUGCAAGAUUGACACAACAAAGUCAUAUCUAAACAAAUCCUAUAAUUUAAGAAACUGCCCAAAAUAUGAUAAGAAUGCCAACAUAAUCUCAACAGUUUUGUAAUGAGACAAAUAGAUUGCAUGAAAUUUUUUUUAACUUAAUUUUUGUACACCUAUGUUUCAAAAUGGUCCUCCUUAUCUUUCAGAUUUGGGUGUCUCAUUGUAAAAUGUUCCCUUUGUAUGAUUGCAUGAAUUACGCAAUAGUCUUUAAUUAAUUUAUUUAUUUUUUGUUCCCUUUGGCUUGUUAUUUAUAUUACUACUUUUUCCUUUCUUGUUCUUUCUACCAUCCGUAUUUUAUUUUUUAUUUUUCAACAUAUGUUAUAUUGGUGUUGGCAGUGAAAUGUGCAAGUAGAAAUCAAAGUUGGUGGUUGGUGAAGGAUCAUCUUCUGGUUGUGCCUUUGGCAAAGCCACAAACGGAUUAAAUUUCUUCGAGGUUAAGAUUUGAAUCAUCUUUCUUAUGACCCAAUACUUGAUGUUGUGUUACUUAUAGAGUUAUAGUAUCAUUCGGUAACUGUUAUGAAAGAUUAAUGGUUUUUUCACCAAGUACCCCUAAGAUAUUGCAUAAUUCUCGUGGUACCCUCGUGGUUUCUAAAUUCACGAGGAUACCCUUGAGGUAUGGUGUUAAUGUAUGAAAUGCCAUUAAAGAUUGACUAAGUUAGAUGGACGUUAAGAGCUACAUUGUAAUGGACAAAUAAAAUACCCCUAAUGUACAUGAGUAUUGUUCAAAUAAUGGAUAACGAAUAGGUUUUUUUUUGGGCUCCACAAAUUUUAUGGUUGUUUAUUGACCCGAUUACAACUUUUUAACUCCUCAUAUAUGUUCUUCCUUCUUUAAUUUUAAAGUUCAAGUAGUGAGUUAGCUCAUAAUUUCACACAUUUCUUUCAACCUUUGAAUCUUCCUACAUAUAUUACUCAUACAGUUAUACCGGCAAUGGACUAGCAACAAUAUACUUUACUCAUAACACAUAUAGUAUAUUUCCUUCAAAAAAAAAAAAAAAAAAAAAAAAAACACAUAGAGUAUAUGACUUCUAAACAGUUAAGAAAACAAUUGUCUACCCAAAAUGCCAAAACGAGGAAAAAAAAAGCCAAGUGGAAUGAGAAGUUCAUGAAUUACAGACCUUGACGAGAAGUGAGCGCAACUUUACCUGAAAACUCUGCUUUUAGUGAGUUUCAUAUUGGGUUGUUAUAAUGAAGUAAUCUAGAUUGGAGAUUGACCACAUAACCGGAAAUUUAACCACUUUCCAACACUACUUGCAAUUUGUUUAUUUGCCACUUAAACGUAGGAAGAUUCAA